GCCCGGGUGGCUUAGUGGCUAACGCUACUGUCUCAGAAUUUUUCGACCCGGGUUCGAUUCCCCUAGGCG